rnacentral:rRNA from 1 species
UACGUAGGGUGCAAGCGUUAUCCGGAAUUAUUGGGCGUAAAGAGCUCGUAGGCGGUUUGUCGCGUCUGCUGUGAAAACUGGAGGCUCAACCUCCAGCCUGCAGUGGGUACGGGCAGACUAGAGUGCGGUAGGGGAGAUUGGAAUUCCUGGUGUAGCGGUGGAAUGCGCAGGAUAUCAGGAGGAACACCGAUGGCGAAGGCAGGUCACUGGGCCGCAACUGACGCUGAGGAGCGAAAGCAUGGGGAGCGAACAGG